rnacentral:lncRNA from 1 species
GAAAAACACAGCUCUACUCAGUAAGAGGGAGAAGUGCUCCGGGAGGCUGUAUAGACACGCACGACAAAUAUUCAAGGAAUUCUUAUGAUAAAAAAAAAUUCUUUGUAAAUCUGGAUGUUUGCAUGAGGACAUCACAGGAACAUGUUUUCUCAAUUACUGUGCACAUUGCUUAGAUGAAGUCACCAAGUCUGCAGCCCAUCAGAGCUGACUCGCACUGAGCCACCUAAUCUGAAAUUCACUUUCCAGGACCUAAAUCGGAUUCAGCCAACACCACCACUGUCCCUAGCUGUCAAAACAAAAUCACCCCCAAAUCCCCAACCAGGGUGGAGACGUAUACAGUGCCCUGAAAAGCAAACUUAUUUCAGGUUCUGGUUGUACUCUACAAAAUUUGGAAAAGGCAUCUCCACUCUUGAUGGAAGACUGAUAAGAGUGCCACAGUCCCUUGAAUUUUGCUUUUCCUUUAGUAUUUAUUGCAUUUACGGUGACUGCGAACUGUCCAUCAGAGCAGACAAGUCCUUUAGGCCCACAAAGCCGAGAACAUAGUUUCUGUCACAAAAGCACACAUCAACUGCUUUAAAUAUUACUAAUCAGUGCCUCAGACCAGCGAUUACGUUGUUCUCUGGAUGGUUUCCUGGACUGACUCCUUUCCAACCAAACAGCAUUGUCAGAUAUUCAUGCUUUCUGAAAUAUUUUAUUAAUGAUGUCCCCUCACCAGUGGGAUGAACCAGAGGACACAAUCAGCAGCGUGCCCCAAGAUCAAGGUGCAGCCCAGCACCCACCAAAAUGAGCAGGAGCCUGGAAAACAAUUCAAGCAACCGCCAGAGCAUAGAGGAAGGAAAGUGCUGAGAUCCUUUAAUAGACAUCCAGGGUGGCCACUGGAGCUGACAACUUUGCAUAAACUCAACUCCAGCCCCAACUCAGCUGAGGUGUCAUUGGCCUCAGCCGUCUGCUCCUAGCAGAGGACACAGGAAAGAAUGACCCCCACCAAGAUUCUACAUUAAGGCCAUGAAGGUGAAGCGUCCCAAUUUCCUCAAGAGCCGGGGUGAUGUAGGCCUGAGGACAGACCAGUGAUGACUGACUGCUGGGCCCUUUGUUCACUGGGGGGUUCUCCGCACCCCUCCUCCUGAUUCCCCUGGCUCCCCUGGGGCUCAUUCCAUCUCUGCUACUAAAAGCCCUACCCCAGGCUCCGUUUUCACCACUAAGACUCAAAGAGGAUUAUUUGUGACAUUCCCUCAAGGGCUAAAUUCCUGUCCAGACCAGAGAUUGACUGUCCCUCCCAGGCAGUUACUAUCCCUCUCUCUCUCUCCCUCUCUCUCUCUCUCUCUCCCUCUCUCUCUCUCUCUCUCUCUCUCUCUGGUAUCAGGGCUCGAACUCGGGUCCUUGUAUUUGCAAGGCAGGCACUGGAACCACUGAGCUAAUUCCCCAGCCCCUGAGUUACUGUAUCUCUACUGGGUCGUGAGACAGAAAGAGAAAAAGGGAACCUAAUUCUGGAGGUAAUUUUCAUCUCUGUAAGACUGGCCUUCUCUCCCCGCUUGCACACUACUAGCUGCAAAGCUCACACCAUGGGCCAGUGCACAUUUUAAACAUUUACAGCAGAAGAAAGACACUUGUCACCACACUCAGUCCCACCCCCAGAGCAGGUGAGUAAUAUUGAACCAAGCUCCAGGGAGCUUGAGAGGACCACAAGCCAGCCGGCAGAGAGGUGUUUACAUUCGCUGCCGCUGCACCUGUUUUUCACAAAAAAAGCAAAUGCUGACUUACCUUUUCUGUGCCCAAAGCGCGAGGAGAGGGGAGGGGACGUGUAUUUUUGCCCUUUCCUGCAACUUGCAAUGACAAGUGGAAUCACUGGUCCCAGAAACGACACCCUACCAACCGUGUUUCUUAUGCAUGAGAAGAAUUGCCUUCCUUUUUGUCUGGGCUUGAGAGUGCAGUUUCUAUGCUUUCACAGGUGAAGUGUGAACUCCUCGCAGCGUUCUCAUUUUUCUUCUUGCAGAGGUCAGGCACCAAAGCCCGACUCCACACCUCAUGCCCCACGUGUCCACGUCUCUGUUUCUGAGGUGAAAGAAAAUAUUUUAGGGGUGAGGUUUUUAAGUGCCAUUGUGUUUGAUUUUUCCAAAAAAAAAGAAAAAAAAAAGGCAGGGCACAUCACAAAGC